UCAAGACUAAGCCAUGCAUGUCUAAGUAUAAGCGAUCUUAUACGGCGAAACUGCGAAUGGCUCAUUAAAUCAGUUAUAGUUUAUUUGAUGGUCUCUCACCACUUGGAUAACCGUGGUAAUUCUAGAGCUAAUACAUGCGUCGAGUCCCGACUGUCGCGGAAGGGAUGUAUUUAUUAGAUUCAAAACCAAUGCGGGGCYCCGGUCCCGGUCUUUUGGUGAUUCAUAGUAACUGUUCGGAGCGCAGGGCCUCAWGCGCCGGCGCCGGAUCAUUCAAGUUUCUGCCCUAUCAACUGUCGAUGGUAAGGUAUUGGCUUACCAUGGUUGCAACGGGUGACGGAGAAUUAGGGUUCGAUUCCGGAGAGGGAGCCUGAGAAACGGCCACCACAUCCAAGGAAGGCAGCAGGCGCGCAAAUUACCCAAUCCCGACACGGGGAGGUAGUGACAAUAAAUAACAAUACAGGGCUUUCGUAAGUCUUGUAAUUGGAAUGAGAACAAUUUAAAUCCCUUAACGAGGAACAAUUGGAGGGCAAGUCUGGUGCCAGCAGCCGCGGUAAUUCCAGCUCCAAUAGCGUAUAUUAAAGUUGUUGCAGUUAAAAAGCUCGUAGUUGGAUUUCGGCGGCGCGGCGUCGGUCCGCCUGGCGGCGUGUCACUGGCGCCGCGCGGCUUUCUCUCGAGGGCCGCGCGUGCUCUUGAGUGAGCGUGCGCGUUACUCGGGACGUUUACUUUGAAAAAAUUAGAGUGUUCAAAGCAGGCUUUGGGGCUUGAAUACAUUAGCAUGGAAUAAUGGAAUAGGACGUCGGUCCUGUUUUGUUGGUUUCCGGGACCGAGGUAAUGAUUAAUAGGGACAGUUGGGGGCAUUCGUAUUCAAUUGUCAGAGGUGAAAUUCUUGGAUUUAUGGAAGACGGACGCAUGCGAAAGCAUUUGCCAAGGAUGUUUUCGUUAAUCAAGAACGAAA
rnacentral:rRNA from 1 species